rnacentral:lncRNA from 1 species
CCUCGGUCACCCCAAUCACCAGGCAGAUUUGAGAGCUUGAUGCAAACUGGAUGAGGCUUUAUUGUUUUUUUUAACAAGCUAACCCCGUGUUAGCUUGGGUCUUUCACCCACCCACCAUGGUGGAUGGCUAGCAAAGACCCCUUGAACCGGCUGCGGAGUGAUCUUGCAGGGCAGCGUAAGGGGAGUGUCUAGGGGUACGCACAGGCUCAGGAUUGGUGUGCCUCCAGGCUUGGAGGGCUUGCCCUGUGUUGAUUGGCCAAUUGAUUGUAAUGGCCCAUAGGCCCUCCCAGGGUGGUUGCUAUGCUCUGCGCAUCAUUGCUGUGCUCUUGUCCAUAAAGCACACCCAGAGUCGUAAAGCAUAGUGCCACCAGCUAACUUCUGAUUGGUUCCUUGUCAUGAAGCAGGCACCUAACCUCUAGUGACUAAGGCAAGGUCAUAGCGAGCACGUGUUACUGUCAUGGCUGCCAAAAUGGGGGGCUGUUCCCUUCAUUCCACAUCCUCCCUGCCUCUCUAACCUCCCAACUUUACAUUUGUUCUCUUUAAAAAAGACACACACACACACACACACACACACACACACACACACACACACUAUAGGAACCAGAACAAACUCAGUAAACAAAAAUCAAAGCAGAAAAUCUAAAGAAAGAGAAAAAUCAAUAAAACAAAAUAAGAAAGGAAAAGAAAAUGCAUUAUAAACUUAAAUACUCUGUUUUGUGUUGACCAACUACUCCUGGGGGUGGUCCUGCCCUUGAGUGUGGUUGAUAAACCCAAUGUCACUGCAUUUGAGAAAAGUGAUUUUUUUUUUCCUAUUCCAGAGGAUGUAAACUGGAAAUAGCUUCUUGGUUAGGCAUGGAACUUUGUAUCUACUUCCCCUUCUCAGUCCUGGGAUUUUGUCUGGUUUGAGUCUGUGCAGGUGUCCCAUUUGCUGUCUCAGCCUCUGUUAGUUCAUAUGUGUAUCUGCCUAGUGAUAUCUGGAAGAUGCUGUUUUCCUGGGGUCAUUCACUACCUCUAGCUAUUCAGAUCUUUCUACCUCCCAUUCUGCAUCCUAUUCUGUAGGCUACCAUGUUGCUGGGAUGACACUAUACUUUGCUGUUUAAAAAUAUAGCCCAUGGAGGCUUGAGAUGAAGGUGGCUCAAUAUUUAAGAGCACUGACUGCUCUACCAGAGGACCAGGGUUCAUUUCCCAGCACCCACAUGCCAACUAACAACUUUCUUUAUAACUCCAACAUCUGAUAGCCUCACACAGACAUACACACAGGCAAAACAACAAUGCACAUAAAAUGAAAUAAAUUAUAAGAAAUAUAGCUCAUGUAUAUAGACAGACAGAAGUGUGAGAUAUUUAAAUUGUUGGUGAAAAAAAGAACAACAAAAAACUUAAAAUUCUGUAACCAGCAAAAUAAGAUUAAAGUAAAGCUCAGCCUGUUGGUACAGGUCUGAAUUUCUAAUUACUCUGAGGC